rnacentral:misc_RNA from 1 species
GUUAGGGGGCGUUUCUCCAGGAGGAAAGCUGUGAGCUGCGACGCUGAGGAAGGGGACCCCAAAACGUCUGGCACUGCCCCCUCCAGGGAUCACUUUGGACCGCCUCACUCGGGCCAGCCGGAUUCUGAAACGCCGAGGGGUCAACCUGAUGGGUUUCGGGGUCAACGGAAGAGGGGAAGGGGAGCCCUGGCGGGGAGAACCCCCCGGUCCCCCGCCCAGCAGCUGAGGCACAGGAGGGCGGCCAUCUUGGCCGGGAGGGUAGGGCUGGGGAGCUGCGGGCGCCGUGCGAUUGGGGGGCUCGCCCGGAAGUGACGCCAACUACCCGGAAGCGGAGGGGGUUCCCUGGCCCACUCCCCCCUCGUUCGUUUGCUCCCCGCUUCCUCCCCGCCCCCUUCCUCUCCAUUCGUUUCCCCCCUCCCCGUUCCCUGCCUUCUUCCCCCCCCCCGCCGUCCCUCCCCCCCAACCUCCGGAGCUGGGAAGAGAGUCAAGAUGGCGGCGAAAUCCGAUGGCGGUGGCGUGGGGGUGGGCUUCGCUCAGCUGCACAACCUGGACGAGGCGGUGGGCAGCGGCGGCGAGGAGGACGGGGAGCCCGGGGAGGCGGCUGCGGCGGCGGCGGCGACGGCAGCGAGCCCGGCGAGAGCAGCUCGAUGCACAUCUGCCACUGCUGCAACACCUCCUCGUGCUACUGGGGCUGCCGCUCCGCCUGCCUGCGCUCCCUCCUGGGCAGGAAGCCGCGCCGCAGCGCCGCCGCCGACGGGGGGGACCAGCCGCUGCAGCCUCCCGCGGCCCCGGCGCCGGCCGCCAACCCCCGACGCCCUCGGCCGCGCGGCCGGAGCCGCCGCCGCCGCAGGUGGAGCGGCCGUGGCUCGACUGCCUGUGGAUCGUGCUGGCGCUGCUGGUGUUCUUCGGGGACGUGGGCACCGACCUGUGGCUGGCCCUCGACUACUACCGCAAGGGGGACUACGUCUACUUCGGGCUGACCCUCUUCUUCGUGCUGGUGCCGUCGCUGCUGGUGCAGAGCCUGAGCUUCCGCUGGUUCGUGCAGGACUACACGGGCGGCGGGCUGGGCGCCGUGGAGGGGCUCACCAGCCGGGGCCCCCCCAUGAUGGGGGCCGGCUACGUCCACGGCGCGGCCCGCGGUGGCCCAGGCGUGAGGGUCUCCCCCACGCCGGGGGCGCAGCGCCUGUGUCGCCUCUCCGUGUGGAUCUGGCAGUCGGUCAUCCACCUGCUGCAGAUGGGGCAGGUGUGGAGGUAUAUCCGCACCAUGUACCUGGGGAUUCAGAGCCAGCGGCGGAAGGAACACCAGCGACGCUUCUACUGGGCUAUGAUGUAUGAAUAUGCAGACGUCAACAUGCUGCGCCUCCUGGAGACCUUCCUGGAGAGCGCGCCCCAACUGGUGCUACAGCUCUACAUCAUGCUCCAGAAGAACAGCGCCGAGACCCUGCCCUGUGUCUCCUCUGUGACUUCCCUGAUGUCCCUGGCUUGGGUGCUAGCCUCCUAUCACAAGCUGCUGCGGGACUCCAGGGACGACAAGAAGAGCAUGAGCUACAGAGGGGCCAUCAUCCAGGUCUUCUGGCGCCUCUUCACCAUCUCAUCCCGAGUGAUCUCUUUUGCCCUCUUUGCUUCCAUCUUCCAGCUCUAUUUUGGGAUCUUCGUGGUGGUUCACUGGUGCGCCAUGGCCUUCUGGAUCAUCCAUGGCGGAACAGACUUCUGCAUGUCCAAGUGGGAGGAGAUCCUCUUCAACAUGGUGGUAGGGAUCGUGUACAUUUUCUGCUGGUUUAACGUCAAGGAAGGGCGGACUCGAUAUCGAAUGUUUGCAUAUUAUACGAUAGUCUUGACCGAGAAUGCUGCCUUGACGUUCCUUUGGUAUUUUUACAGAGACCCGGAGACCACUGACUCCUAUGCGGUGCCAGCACUGUGUUGUGUCUUUAUUAGCUUUGUGGCUGGGAUCGCAAUGAUGCUCUUAUACUAUGGCGUGCUGCAUCCCACAGGACCACGAGCUAAGAUCCUUGCCAGCUCCUGUUGUGCCGAGCUGCUCUGGGGCAUCCCUUUGCCCCCCGAUGUUGAGCCCAUGGCGCCUGAGAUCCCUGGGUACCGGGGGACCCAGGUUACGCCCACCAGAGCCGUAACGGAACAACAGGAGGAUCUCACGGCUGACACUUGCUUGCCUGUUUUCCAAGUGAGACCCAUGGGGCCCCCUACCCCGUUGGGGCGUCCUUACCUCCCAGAAGGGCCCCUCAUUAAGAUUGACAUGCCAAGAAAGCGAUACCCAGCUUGGGAUGCUCAUUUUGUAGACAGGAGGCUGAGAAGGACUAUUAACAUUCUACAAUAUGUCACCCCCACCGCAGUAGGCAUUCGAUAUCGAGACGGACCACUCCUCUAUGAGUUGCUACAGUAUGAGUCUUCACUCUAAGAGCAUCUUGACCAAGUUGAGAAGGGGACCUUAAGUUUGGUUUGCGGCAAACAGCACUUGCAAGAAAUAUAACCCUCCCUUCCCCCAAUACACAGAACCACCGCCACCACCACCAACACCGCCACACCAACACCACCACUACAAAAAAAAAAGAAUUAAUAAGUCACAACCCCUUCAAAUAAGCUUUCUUUCCAGUCGCUGUAUGUAUACAAAGAUAUUCUCUAUGUUUUGUAAGUAAAAACAAAAAGAAAACCUUUCUUUUGUUUUUUACACAUAAGAAACAGUAUUGAAAAAUCCCACGCUAUGGUUCAUAGGGUGGAGAAGGAGGAGUUAUCUCCACUCCAAAAGAAAAAAAAAAAGUUUUUUACCUUACACCAAGUGUAGAUCAUUUAUGGGAUUGGUGCUGAUUGAAAGAACAAAACAAAACAAAACAAACACAAACAAACAAAAAACCUUCAACUGCCUUAUGCCCUUAGGUGCUGAGUUUCAUUAAGUACUGUCACGUUUUCUCAUGCAAAACUCUCUGGUGAUUUUUGCACCAGAAGAGGGAAAAUUAAACAAUUAAAUGAAACAAAUCUAAAAGUGAAACAAAAACCAACCAACAAAUACAACACAAAGCAAUUAUUCUUCCUAUCUGAUUAUUUGUAUUGAAGAAAACAAAUUUACCAAAAGCAAAAGCAUAAACCCCUCCCUCUUUUCAGUUUCUCCCCCUCCUCUCCUGACCUUCUCCCCACUUUGCAGAGCCUUCUAGGAGCUCAAGGGCUGUUUGAAACUCAAAUGGCUGGAGAAGCUACUUGAAGGCUGAUUAUGUGCCAUUUUAGCAUUUGCCUAGCAAGAAUCACAUUCGUUUCCCAGUGAAAAGCAAACCAGAACAAAACAAAAAGCCACCGCAAUAAUUCGGUAAGGACAGGAUAUUCUAAAGCAAAUUAAAGGAGAUUUCUGUACACAUAAUCAGUAAUAAUAAAACUCAGCAUAGUAGCAAAAAGAACGACAUCAGUUUAAAGGCACAAUACUUAAUCAGUGACUGGCAACAACGAUUAGUUCCAUCAUUUUAAGGCUGUGAAUGGUAGACAUUUAUCACAUGUGAUAUUGUGUAAAGCCUCUUCUGUUUCCAUUUGGUGGGAAGCCUUAAAUUGAUCUGGAAAGAAUUCUUCAUUUUUCAUUUGUGCUUUUUUAAAAAAAAAAUAACACAAAGAGGAAAACUAGAAUAUAUAUAUAUAUAUACAUAUAUAUAAAAAGUCAAAAUUGUAAUAACUGACCCAUUUCAAAGACUGUUUGGUGCUUCUGUCUUUCACCAUUGUGGUUGGCUGAAAAUCAUUCAGCUCACCUGGUGCAUCUGGGUUGAAUGGGAAAUUUUGUGUGUGUAGUAUGUGUGUGUUUGUGUGUGUAUGUGUGUGUGUGCCCAUAGCACACGUAUAUAUGUGUGUGUCCCUGCUGCAAAGUCUUGCCAGAGAUAUACAAAACUGAUGUAAGACGAACUUGGAUCACGGCUUGGUUCAGCAGAGCAUGGGGGCGGGGGCUCUGGAGUGGUGGGGAAGUGAUGCUGCCUGCCCACGAGCCCUGGUUUGGGUGGCAAGACUCACACCAGCAGCGGACUGCAGGCCUUAGAGGCCAUGCCAUUUGGGUGAGGAUUUGAUUCCACUGUUUAUUUUCUCAUUGUAUCAAGUUGAAUUUCUGCAGGUGUUGCAAGUAUGUUCAACGAUUUAAAUUUUUUUUUAUUUUUCAAAGUAUUGUUCCUUUAAAGAAUAUUUCUGUUCUAGGGCAUCGUUUCAAUCGCAUCGUAUCUCUACUUGGGCACAAAAAAAAAGGAAAAGAAAAAAAAUCACAAAAAAGAUAUAUAAUAAGUAUAUAUAUAUAUAUAUAUAUAUAAACACACACAAUAUUUUUAAGUAAAUACUGUUAGUCUUU